AUCCAGCUGAAGAGUCACAAAUAAAACGAAACACGCGUCCUGGAU
rnacentral:hammerhead_ribozyme from 1 species